CUCCCAAGGUGACCCGUGUUCAUCGCCGGUGUUCAUCGCCGCCCUCGGGACUUGCAGUAGCACCCGCGAGCCUCUGCGGGAAGUGAGGAAGCGUCGAUCUGGCUUCUGCGGGGCAGGGCAACCCGGUGGGGCGGGGGGGGCACGGGCAGGCAGGAGCUACGGGCGCUCUUGGCUCCCUGUGUUACUUGGGAUGUAGGACCCUCUAGGAAAGCACGGCCCCGUUGGAUGAUAUGACCCUGUGUGGUUCAAGCCUUGACCUUUUCAGUAUUGCUGCCUGUGCAUCCACUUCCAUGUUGGUGGGAUGGUGGUUUUGGACUGAAGCCCUGUUGGAGGUGAGGGGUGAAGUCUCCUACUUGUACUGGGCAGGACUGUCACUGCUAAACAAACAGGAUAUUGCAUUUUGUUUUGGUAGAUGUCUUUCUCUGGUUUGUGCUUGCAUUCCUAGAUAAGGGCUACAGUAAAUUAGACGAGGAGAUGAUGCCUAUGUGAAUCAUGCUUGCCAAGCCGGUGUAUUGCCAGAAAAGAUAUGUGGCUUUCUGGCCUGCCACAGUUGUGACCACCCCGCUUUCAGCACUGGUUUGACCUGACUUUAGAGACCACUUGAGAUGGACAUGCAAUGGGGCAUAUGGGGAAUGUCCCUAGGUGGAUGUCUCUGGGCCUGUCUGCUGUGCCUCUGCCACAACACACAAGAUUCACUGGACAUCUGCUUUCUCCUGCCACAGUUGGAAGAUGGGCCUACAGAUUGUGUUGUUGAUUUCCUGCUAGUGGUGGGUCUAAGGGAGAAGAAAGUUGUUCCUGCCAAGCCGGAUCAGAUGCUGCUUCAUAUCUGCAAUGGCCAACAACAGUCCUUUAUGUGGCCCAGGAGACUACUUUGGAAUAAGCAAGUUCUGACUGGCAAUGGCCUGACAUUUGGCAAGAUUUUGCCCUGUGGUUUUAGCCACAAACAAAAAGAUUCACUGAUGCCAAAGACUGAGCAGCCUUUCUCCUGCUCCUGAGUUCACUGGUUGACAGCUUUCCUGUCAAGUCCUGAAACUCCAGCAGGAACACAAGCCAGUUUUCUCUGUAGCUCCUGACUGCCCUUUGUCAACCUCUCAACAACAGUAUUUUAUUGCACUUAGAUACGUCACAGAAUUUCUUCUAUCUUAGCUUCUAGAGAAGAAGAAAAUGGUCUAUAUUCAAACAGGACCAAAGUGUUUCACAGUAAUCAAACUCUUCCCAAAAAAACAGAUGCAUAGGCAUUGCAGAGGCCUGAAAUUCUGCUUCCAAAGAAGAAGGAAAACAUUCCAAUGUGUUGAAAUGACUUGCACCGUAGCAUAUGCUGCAGAGGAAACAAGGCAGCUCUGGUGCUUUAGUAAAUGACGCCUAUCUCUUGAGCCAGCGCCCUCCUAUCAGAUAUUUCAUUUCACCAGGGUCAAUACAAGUUUAAUUGCUCAGCUUUAUCAGCGUCUGCUGACUUUUGGAUCUCCAAACUUGGCCAUGUUACAGGAUGGGAGAUUUUACAAGGGCCUUACCCUUAGUAGUAGUCUAAAGGCAGCAAAUUUGCAUUUUGGCAUGUUUGGAAAGCUUAAAAUGAGCUUUAAACAGAAUGAGAUUGUUCAAAUGCAGUCAAAUGGCAGACUUCUCAGUUCAAAUAAUGCAACUCACCCAAAUGCCAGAGAUUCUGUCUUUGCACACAGUCAUUUUGGACUUUGGACAGUUUCACUGAAGCCGGGACAGCUCACCAAUGUUCUGAAGAAUAUUCGUAGUCUGGCCCUGGAGAAACCAGUGGGCAGUGAUUAUCCCCUGAGGACCUCGUAACAAUCUCUGCGCAUGCAUCCAUCUUGGGGAACUGGUCAAUUUAGGGAGGAAAAAAAAAAAAAAGAUUACCUAAUGAAACAGUAAAGGAUGAAUAUUGUGUUAGUUGUGCUACAGCUUUGGCCAAAUUCCAGCUGUAAGUACUAACAGUAUAAGAGUGCCUUCAAGUGCCUUUUUGCUAACAGUGCCUUCAAGGCACAAACGUAACAGAAGUAGGAUCAUUCCUUCCCUUCCUGUUGCCACCCGUGAGACACAGGGCUCUGUGGAGGCAUCUAUCAGCAGGAGAUAAAAGCCUACAUGCACACUGCAGCUCUUGAGCAGCAACUAAUUUCCCCGCUCGUGCUUUCUCAGAUAAUCACCCAUGGACCUUCUGAAAGUGGGGAGCAGGGUGGAACAGAAAUUUCGAAAAAUAAACUGGCCAUUAAUAGCUGAGAAACUGUCUCU
ensembl:lncRNA